rnacentral:misc_RNA from 1 species
GAUGAAUAACGUAGCGAAAUGCGAUAAGUAAUGCGAAUUGCAGAAUUCCAGUGAGUCAUCGAAUCUUUGAACGCACAUUGCGCCCGCUAGUAUUCUGGCGGGCAUGCCUGUCCGAGCGUCAUUUCAACCCUCAAGCCCCCGGGCUUGGUGUUGGGGAUCGGCGAGCCUCCGCGCCCGCCGUCCCCUAAAUCUAGUGGCGGUCUCGCUGUAGCUUCCUCUGCGUAGUAGCACACCUCGCACUGGGAAACAGCGCGGCCACGCCGUUAAACCCCCAACUUCUGAACGUUUGACCUCGGAUCAGGUAGGAAUACCCGCUGAACUUAAGCAUAUCAAUAAGCGGAGGA